rnacentral:rRNA from 1 species
CGCCCGACGCUGCCGUCUGCGUAUCGAGCAACCGAGAAGGAGCUUGCUCCUUUGACGUUAGCGGCGGACGGGUGAGUAACACGUGGGCAACCUACCUUAUAGUUUGGGAUAACUCCGGGAAACCGGGGCUAAUACCGAAUAAUCUGUUUCACCUCAUGGUGAAAUAUUGAAAGACGGUUUCGGCUGUCGCUAUAGGAUGGGCCCGCGGCGCAUUAGCUAGUUGGUGAGGUAACGGCUCACCAAGGCGACGAUGCGUAGCCGACCUGAGAGGGUGAUCGGCCACACUGGGACUGAGACACGGCCCAGACUCCUACGGGAGGCAGCAGUAGGGAAUCUUCCACAAUGGGCGAAAGCCUGAUGGAGCAACGCCGCGUGAGUGAAGAAGGAUUUCGGUUCGUAAAACUCUGUUGUAAGGGAAGAACAAGUACAGUAGUAACUGGCUGUACCUUGACGGUACCUUAUUAGAAAGCCACGGCUAACUACGUGCCAGCAGCCGCGGUAAUACGUAGGUGGCAAAGCGUUGUCCGGAAUUAUUGGGCGUAAAGCGCGCGCAGGUGGAUUCUUAAGUCUGAUGUGAAAGCCCACGGCUCACCC